GACGAACGCUGGCGGCGUGCCUAAUACAUGCAAGUCGAACGCUCUUUUCUUAUCGAACUUCGGUUCACCAAGAAAAGGGAGUGGCGAACGGGUGAGUAACACGUGGGCAAUCUGCCCUAAAGACUGGGAUACCACUUGGAAACAGGUGCUAAUACCGGAUAACAACAUGAAUCGCAUGAUUCAAGUUUGAAAGGCGGCGUAAGCUGUCACUUUAGGAUGAGCCCGCGGCGCAUUAGCUAGUUGGUGGGGUAAAAGCCUACCAAGGCAAUGAUGCGUAGCCGAGUUGAGAGACUGAACGGCCACAC
rnacentral:rRNA from 1 species